AGGAUAAGGAACAUGGUGUUGCAGUUCAAACCAGUUCCAGCCAAAAUGGACUCUCGUCACAAACAAAUAGUAAUAACAAUCCAAACUUGUGGCUAAAUAGAGUUCUGAAGUUUUGAGAAAGAGUUGGGAUCCAGAGAACCUUCCCCUUCUGAGCAGCAAAACCAAAUAAAGCAGUUCUCAGGAUACAAAGACAAGACUGAGGAAGAUCCUAAUAAGGUGUUGCAAGGUGACACAGGACAAACUUUGUCCCAAGGAAAUUGAUCUGACAAGAACUUCUGGACUUGUCAGUUCUUAGGGCUGACUGGUCUAUCCUCUUUCUAUUGACUUUGGCUUACUAGACUCAAGCAGAAAGUGACAAGGGAAGAAAAGGAUACAAACAGAAGCAAGUUUCCAAGUACAAGGUUUAUAUCAGGAAGAGCCAAUCAAAGAUCAUAUCUGGAGGACUGCUGCAAAGUUGUGAUAAAUGACCAAAUAGUAUUUUUAUAGAAGGUGGAAUGAAUGACAGACUAAAGAUUUCAGCUGAUUAAAGAAAUUAUGGAGUGCAUCAUUCUCAGUUUAUAUUGAACUGGGGUUCCUGAGAAAUUCCUUCUUAUAAAUUUACAUGGAAAUUAUAAUUUUUACUAGUUGAUUUCAGUUAAUUAGCCUACUGAA
rnacentral:lncRNA from 1 species